AUACGGAGGGGGCUAGCGUUGUUCGGAAUUACUGGGCGUAAAGCGCGCGUAGGCGGGUUUGCAAGUUGGGGGUGAAAUCCCGGGGCUUAACCCCGGAACUGCCCUCAAAACUGUAGACCUAGAAUCCUGGAGAGGUGAGUGGAAUUCCUAGUGUAGAGGUGAAAUUCGUAGAUAUUAGGAAGAACACCAGUGGCGAAGGCGGCUCACUGGACAGGUAUUGACGCUGAGGUGCGAAAGCGUGGGGAGCAAACAGGAUUAGAAACCCGUGUAGUCC
rnacentral:rRNA from 1 species